UGAUUGGACGAACCUACAGUCUCACUAAGCAAUCCAUAACGUCACUGGUUGCACGCAACGAACGUCAAGUGCGCACGAUGGCUGUGGUUAUGAAAGACAACCCCAUUUAUACCCCAGGGACUGACAGUGAAUUAAUUCUGUCCAGUGCCCUGGAUGGUCAAACUGCCCAUGGAGGUCCUCCAUGGUACAAGAUUUUACACACUUCAGGGCUCCAUCCUGCAGUAAUCCUCCAAUGAUGAACCUACCCAACUGCCUGAUGAACUUGUACUUCAGAGCAAUGAGACCUCCAGUUUUCUGCAAUGGUGUUUACUCUGAGGCUGCCAAAGGAGGAAGGCGAGGGGAUCUAUUUGUCCCAAGGUGAGACAUACUCUACAACACCCCAAUGUUAAAUAAACACUCCCCAGACCUCUGGCCAGCUCACUCCAGCCACUGGAAUACCAUUGGUGUGUCUAGAUGAUGGA